UACAGAGGUCUCAAGCGUUUGUUCGGAUUCAUUGGGCGUAAAGGGCGCGUAGGCGGUCCGAUAAGUCCCGUGUGAAAUCCCUCGGCUCAACUGAGGAACUGCACAGGAAACUGACGGGCUUUGAGUUCGGGAGAGGGAAGCGGAAUUCCGGGUGUAGCGGUGAAAUGCGUAGAUAUCAGGAGGAACACCGAUGGCGAAGGCAGGUCUCUGGGCCGUAACUGACGCUGAGGAGCGAAAGCGUGGGGAGCGAACAGG
rnacentral:rRNA from 1 species